rnacentral:rRNA from 1 species
UACGUAGGGUGCAAGCGUUGUCCGGAAUUAUUGGGCGUAAAGGGCUCGUAGGCGGUUUGUCGCGUCGGGGGUGAAAACUCAGGGCUUAACCCUGAGCCUGCUUCCGAUACGGGCAGACUAGAGGUAUGCAGGGGAGAAUGGAAUUCCUGGUGUAGCGGUGAAAUGCGCAGAUAUCAGGAGGAACACCGGUGGCGAAGGCGGUUCUCUGGGCAUUACCUGACGCUGAGGAGCGAAAGUGUGGGGAGCGAACAGG